rnacentral:rRNA from 1 species
AGUGAACGCUGGCGGUAGGCCUAACACAUGCAAGUCGAACGGCAGCACAGUAAGAGCUUGCUCUUACGGGUGGCGAGUGGCGGACGGGUGAGGAAUACAUCGGAAUCUACUUUUUCGUGGGGGAUAACGUAGGGAAACUUACGCUAAUACCGCAUACGGCCUACGGGUGAAAGCAGGGGAUCUUCGGACCUUGCGCGAUUGAAUGAGCCGAUGUCGGAUUAGCUAGUUGGCGGGGUAAAGGCCCGCCAAGGCGACGAUCCGUAGCUGGUCUGAGAGGAUGAUCAGCCACACUGGAGCUGAGACACGGUCCAGACUCCUACGGGAGGCAGCAGUGGGGAAUAUUGGACAAAGGGCGCAAGCCUGAUCCAGCCAUACCGCGUGGGUGAAGAAGGCCUUCGGGUUGUAAAGCCCUUUUGUUGGGAAAGAAAAGCAGCAGGUUAAUACCCCGCUGUUCUGACGGUACCCAAAGAAUAAGCACCGGCUAACUUCGUG